CGGGUGAGUAACACGUGGGUAACCUGCCCCGAUGAUUGGGACAACCCGAGGAAACUCGGGCUAAUACCAAAUGUGCCCUCCGACCACAAGGUCGCUGGGGAAAGGAAGCUUCGGCCUCCGCAUCGGGAUGGGCCCGCGGCCCAUUAGCUUGUUGGUGAGGUAACGGCUCACCAAGGCUACGAUGGGUAGCUGGUCUGAGAGGACGAUCAGCCACACUGGGACUGAGACACGGCCCAG
rnacentral:rRNA from 1 species